UAUUUAUUUCGCCAUUGAACUUAGAGUAAUGAAAUACUCUAUAAUGUUUAUAGAGUAGAAAGCCCGAAUUAAAACAAUUAUCUAUUAAAAUGUAUUUAGUUGGUUCACUUGGCACUAAAAUUGGCCAAUGAUUUAUCAAAAUAUUUAUAUAAUAUACAUUAUAAUUUAUUUUUGAGGUUUCAAAUGCCAAAUCCACCUACAGUCUUCGCAGAUUCAUCAUGAUGACACCUACGAUGUUUUUCCUAAGCCUUUUAAUGUUAUUAUUUUUGAGCACAGAGGUAAACCCAUCAGUGGAGUUCAGGAACUUUAUUUGUCAAUCAUUCGAUAAGGACUUUUCAGACUUUGAAAAUUGUAUUUUAAAGUCUGUAAACAGGACUUAUAAAUAUUUAUCCCUAAAAGUCAAUCUUUUCCAGGUUCCAGUAACAAAAGUGAAGGUAAACUUUGGUCUCUACAAACGCUUCAAUGGAUACAAGCCAUUUUUAUACAAUAUGACAGUAGAUGCAAAUUUGUAAAUAAUCCAAAAUCAAACCCCGUGGCUCUAUACUUUUAUAGUGUGUUUAAAGAGUUCUCGAAUAUGAAUCACUCGUGCCCAUACAACCAUGAUGUUGUCGUGGAAAAACUCACAACAGAUAUAAUGUUUAACAGUUUCUCGAAAAUUCUUCCUUUCCCAGACGGAGAUUAUUUGAUAAAAAGUUAUUGGUUUGGCAAUGGAAAAAACAGAGUCGCGGUUGAAGUAUAUUUUUCGAUGAUGACAUAAAAUAUAAAUUACGAUUUAAACAAAAAUCGUAAUUAAAGUAUGCUUUAAUCAUAAUUAUAACUUUAAUAAAGCAUAUAUACAGAAAAAAAUAUGCAGAUUGUAUUUUUACUAAGUUUACGCUGAAGAAUAUCAAAAGGCAUCGAUUAUCGGCAUCGAACAUUUCGAUUUUUUCAUCGAUGUUUUUCCAUCUCUACCCAAAGAAGAGAUCUUCACUUUUUAUCGUUGGUAUAUUUGGUAUUCGUUGGUGUACUUCAUUGGACAUUUAGAAAUGGAACUUUUUUGGGUUGGAAUUUUUAGUCAGUCAGUCUU